CAAGAUAAGCCAUGCAUGUCUAAGUAUAAGCAAUCAUACUGUGAAACUGCGAAUGGCUCAUUAAAUCAGUUAUCGUUUAUUUGAUAGUACCUUUACCUGGAUAACCGUGGUAAUUCUAGAGCUAAUACAUGCUAAAAAUCCCGACUUCGGAAGGGAUGUAUUUAUUAGAUAAAAAACCAAUGCCCUUCGGGGCUCCUUGGUGAUUCAUAAUAACUAAACGAAUCGCAUGGCCUUGCGCCGGCGAUGGUUCAUUCAAAUUUCUGCCCUAUCAACUUUCGAUGGUAGGAUAGUGGCCUACCAUGGUCUCAACGGGUAACGGGGAAUUAGGGUUCUAUUCCGGAGAGGGAGCCUGAGAAACGGCUACCACAUCCAAGGAAGGCAGCAGGCGCGCAAAUUACCCAAUCCCAAUUCGGGGAGGUAGUGACAAUAAAUACUGAUACAGGGCUCUUUUGGGUCUUGUAAUUGGAAUGAGUACAAUCUAAAUCCCUUAACGAGAACAAUUGGAGGGCA
rnacentral:rRNA from 1 species